rnacentral:lncRNA from 1 species
GCCCACGCAGAUCUCCCCCACUUACACUGCACCAUUUUGAAUUCUGCACAAAAAUCAAGCCUAAAAAAACUUAAGAUCAAGCACUUGGCCACUUUAUCAAAAUCAAAAUAAAGAAGAAAAAACAAACGCUUCCACUCGGCUGAACCAAAAUCUCUCAUUCGAACCCCUUUUCUCUUCUCGACGGAUCGUGUUAUGUAAUGGCCAAUCAAGGCCCUAUUCAACCAGAGGUUCGCGAGUUUCGCUCACUAGCCUUAGAAUCGUCACCUAACUUCGAUUGUGACGAAUCAAGUGAGGAUUCGAAUGAGCCAACUCUCUGGUGAGUCAUUUUCUCUUUUCUGAUUUUUGUUUUUAUAUGCAGUAACAAAGAUUUGUGAAAUAGGAGCAGAAUCGAAAAGAAAGAAAUAAUCUAAAAUCACCUUAGUUUUUCCUCGCUUUUUCCUUCUAUUUUCAUAUUCCCCCCAUACAAAUUACAUUUGGUCUUUAUUUAUAGCCGAAUAAAGAGAAAAACAGAAAAUCAAAGAAAUUCCCUAGAUCUUUCUAUUAAUUCGCUACCCAUUUGCUGUAAAUUUGCUGUGUUGUUGCGCCCCUCUUGCUGUGGCUUGUGGUUUGUUAAUUUGUUACAGGU